UAUAUGUAUACCAGGCAUUAACAGAUCAAAUGUAAAACAUUGGAUAACGCUUUACAAAUUGAGGUCAUUUAGCUUAAUGUUCAUGUAAUUGGGAUAAUUUUAAUGAAGUAUCUCAAUUGCUCAGUAUUAUUUUCACACUUAUAUACUACUCAAUUCUGGCAUUUAAUUUAUUGAUUCAUUUAAUACCAAAUAACAUGUGUAUGCCAUGUAUAUGUAAUUUAAUUGUAUUCUAUAAAUCCUCUGUUCUUAAUAACAAUUGUAUAACAUACUGCUCCAGUGAACGCUGGCGGAAGCUGACUUGGGUAAACCGCCUCUCUCCCGUACAAAAGGAAGAAGGGUGUGAACUUGGUGCUGGAGUGCCGUUUGGUGCGCUGGGCAAACAUAGCUCCAUCAAGCUCAACUAUUGAAAAAAGUUUUAGAUGGAAUUGGGAACGCUUCAACCCACUUGGUGAAAUAAUCUGUUGCGGUAAAAAUGAACUUGUUGCCACUGGAUGUUUCUUGGAAUGGGCCCAUAAGAUCUACACCAACCAGCUCGAAUGGGCGAGAAACCUAGAAUUUAAGGAACUAUUACAAACCGAACU